rnacentral:rRNA from 1 species
GCUAUUGGGAUUCGACUAAGCCAUGCGAGUCGAGAGGGUUCGGCCCUCGGCAGACUGCUCAGUAACACGUGGAUAAUCUGCCCUUAGGUGGAGGAUAACCUUGGGAAACUGAGAAUAAUACUCCAUAGAUCUAAGAUGCUGGAAUGCACUUAGAUUAAAAGCUCCGGCGCCUAAGGAUGAGUCUGCGGACUAUCAGGUUGUAGUCAGGGUAAGGUCCUGACUAGCCUACAACGGAUACGGGUUGUGAGAGCAAUAACCCGGAGACGAUAUCUGAGACACGAUAUCGGGCCCUACGGGGCGCAGCAGGCGCGAAACCUUCACAAUGUGCGAAAGCGCGAUGAGGGAAUCCCAAGUGCUUGCACUUAAGUGUAAGCUGUUUCUUUGUUUAAAACGCAGAGAGAGGAAGGGCUGGGUAAGACGGGUGCCAGCCGCCGCGGUAAUACCUGCAGCUCAAGUGGUGACCGCUAUUAUUGGGCCUAAAACGUUCGUAGCCGGCUGAGUAAAUGCUUGGGUAAAUCGUGCCGCUUAACGGUACGAAUUCCGGGUAGACUGCUCAGCUUGAGACCGGGAGAAGCUAGAGGUACUCCUGGGGUAGAGGUGAAAUUCUGUAAUCCUGGGGGGACCACCAGUGGCGAAGGCGUCUAGCUAGAACGGGUCUGACGGUGAGGGACGAAACCCUGGGGCGCAAACCGGAUUAGA